AGGGUUAGGGCCGGCGGUUUUGCAGCUCACCUGGGGAGGCCAGCAGCACCUUCGCCCCGCAGCAUUGAAAGCAGUGCAGCAGAGACUUGGCACGGAUGUUGUAGUUGAGGCACGCCAUGGGACAGCCCAGUUUGAGCAGUCCCAGCCAGAUCCACACGUAGGCCGGCUCAUUGCCCAUGAAGAGGGCUACGCAAUCCCCCUGUCGUAGGCCCAGUUGAUCGUGCAGCGCCCGCGCCACUUGGUUGCUGCGCCGGUCCACCUGGGCGUAGGUGAGCGUCUCGUCUCGGAACAGCAGGAAGGGCUUGUGUGGGGUCUUGCGCGCUUGUUCCAGGAAGGCCCGCAGGAUGGUACGCACGGGUCGCCGCUGCCUGUAGCUGCGCACCCGCCGGGCCAUGUUGGCCAGCCGCAGGAAGUACCGCACAUCUUGGAGGAGGUAGGGGCAGCAGCAGGUAAAUGUAGCUACCACGUCUAUCAAAGAAGCUUCUCUUUACAGCGAAUGGAAAGCACAACUGGACAUAAGGCAGAGAUCAGUGGUUGGUGGGGGCCAAACGGCUACAUCUGCAGCACGGCACCUGCAUCUUUGACUCAGGGGACAUAGCAGAGGAGAUCUGAAAGAUUGAAAGAGCUGGAACAUCAGGGAGUCUGCUGAAAGACUAUCUUUUCAGAAUGCUGAAAAUAAAACUCCUAUGUGACUCAGCUGUUCUGCCCCCAUGAACAUACCCAAGGAACUCCACAUUCUACAGAGAUAUUUAUUUACGGUUACUACUGCACUAUUCACAAACCACAAGGAAAUGGAAGCAGCUUAGAUGCCCAUACACAGUGAAAACGUAGUCCAUAUCCACAAUGGGAUUUUAUUCAGCUAUAAAGAUAAGCGCCUUCCACUCCUCAUCAAAGAAGCUUCGCUUUACACCAAUGCGGACCACUACAGAGCACCACAGCUGGACACAAGAGGGAGACAAUGGUUCCCGGGAACCCGAGUGCCCGUGGACAGAGCAUCAUUACAGCUCCUGCAUCUCUGGCCCAGGAAACACAGAGGAAGAGGUGGUGGGAAGACUACCAGGAAGUCUGCCAUGAGACUGUCUCUCAUAGAAAUGGCUACACAAACAGGACCAGAACAACGGGCAGUAUCAGGUGAAAUGGUAACGUGGAAGCCGGUAAUCUCAUGCCAUUCAUUCCCUAGGCAAAGACCUACAGACAAUAAUUGCUAAGAAAGUGAGAAUUAGCUUCUCCCUGAGACGAUCCCCCGGAGAUAGCCACCCGGAAGUCACACCCUCACAAUCAACACACACAGCCGCAGCAGACUGUACUUACAUAUCUGCAUGUCUCAAUAGUCAUCAAAGAAAAAGAGGCUGUCCAUUUGAGAGCAAGGGAGGGGACAGUGAAAGGGUUGGAGGCAGGGGACACGGGAGGGGUUGGAGAGAGGUUAGAAAAAGCAGGGAGUGAUGCAAUUACCCUUUGAUUAAAAUGGAUUAAACUUAAUAUAGUAAAGUAAUUCUACCCUCUGCCUGUCAGGGCACACUGUGUACCUUUUCCUGAAACUCACCAAACCCAUUCGUUUCUGCAUAAACUUCUUAUAUUUCCUCUUUGCAAGAACAAUCACUUAAGCACAUUUUAUUAUUUUUUUCUCAUUUUUAUUUUGUUGUGCAAAAAAAUAUUUUCAUUCUGAAUUCCUUUUUAUUUGUGUUUCUAACAACCAGUUUUGGCUGGAUAGGAAUGUUUGUUGGUUUUUUGAUGAGAGAAUAAAGUUAAAAAUUUCAAAGU
ensembl:lincRNA Gm26697 predicted gene, 26697